AAAAACAUCACCUCUAGCAUCACCAGUAUUAGAGGCACCGCCUGCCCAGUGACACAUGUUUAACGGCCGCGGUACCCUAACCGUGCAAAGGUAGCAUAAUCACUUGUUCCUUAAAUAGGGACCUGUAUGAAUGGCUCCACGAGGGUUCAGCUGUCUCUUACUUUUAACCAGUGAAAUUGACCUGCCCGUGAAGAGGCGGGCAUGACACAGCAAGACGAGAAGACCCUAUGGAGCUUUAAUUUAUUAAUGCAAACAGUACCCAACAAACCCUCAGGUCCUAAUCUACCAAUCCUGCAUUAAAAAGAUCGGUUGGGGGGACGUAGUAGCAGAACCCAAGAUCCGAGCAGUACAUGCUAGGAUUUCACCAGUCAAAGCGAAAUACUAUAAUCAAUUGAUCCAAUAACUUGACCAUCGGUACAAGUUACCCUAGGGAUAACAGCGCAAUCCUCUUCUAGAGUCCAUACCAGCAAUAGGGUUUAGGACAUGGAUGGUGGAUCAGGACACCUCGAUAGAGCAG
rnacentral:rRNA from 1 species